UACGUAGGGUGCAAGCGUUGUCCGGAAUUAUUGGGCGUAAAGAGCUCGUAGGCGGCUCGUCGCGUCGGCUGUGAAAACCUGGGGCUCAACCCCGGGCCUGCAGCCGAUACGGGCGAGCUAGAAUUCGGUAGGGGAGACUGGAAUUCCUGGUGUAGCGGUGAAAUGCGCAGAUAUCAGGAGGAACACCGGUGGCGAAGGCGGGGUCUCUGGGCCGAUAUUGACGCUGAGGAGCGAAAGCGUGGGGAGCGAACAGG
rnacentral:rRNA from 1 species